UUGCCAACGUUAAUAAAACGUUGUUUUGACAAUGUUGAGGAAGUGGCACAUUGAAAAUUAUUGUCUCAAUAACUAGCCAUUACAAAAAUAAUUUGCCUUAAUGGAAAGGCAAGGAAAACUUGAUAGAAUGCAUGCAUAUAGUUUGAAGCAGAGGCAGUUGUUCCAUCUUGUUCGAAAAAAGAUGGAUGGUUAUUUUGGUCAACUUGUGUUCAUGCAAUGAAAGCUACCUAUAAUAAUUUUUCAAUCAUUGACUCAUGCAACAAACUUAGACUUAAAAGAGUUAAAGUAACUGGAGAUAAAGAAGUAUGUGCACGAUUUAAUUUCACAACUAAAGAGGACUCCAAAGAAGAAUUAAAGUUCUGGUGGAUUAAAGAUCGAGGAAUGAUUUGGUUUUAACUGGUUUGCAUCUUAUGAACGAAGUACAUAAUAUGAUUUAAAUUAAUGAUUUAUAGUUACACCUAUUGAAGUAAGUUUUAUUUAGUUAAUUAAUGUAUGG
rnacentral:lncRNA from 1 species